UACGAAGGGGACUAGCGUUGUUCGGAAUCACUGGGCGUAAAGCGCACGUAGGCGGAUGUGUCAGUCAGGGGUGAAAUCCCGGGGCUCAACCUCGGAACUGCCUUUGAUACAGCACGUCUCGAGUCCGGAAGAGGUGGGUGGAAUUCCUAGUGUAGAGGUGAAAUUCGUAGAUAUUAGGAAGAACACCGGUGGCGAAGGCGGCCCACUGGUCCGGUACUGACGCUGAGGUGCGAAAGCGUGGGAGCAAACAGG
rnacentral:rRNA from 1 species